rnacentral:rRNA from 1 species
GUACACUCCUGCGGGAGGCAGCAGUGAGGAAUAUUGGACAAUGGGUGGAAGCCUGAUCCAGCCAUCCCGCGUGCAGGAAGACGGCCCUAUGGGUUGUAAACUGCUUUUAUCUGGGGAUAAACCUACUUACGUGUAAGUAGCUGAAGGUACCAGAAGAAUAAGCACCGGCUAACUCCGUGCCAGCAGCCGCGGUAAUACGGAGGGUGCAAGCGUUAUCCGGAUUUAUUGGGUUUAAAGGGUCCGUAGGCGGACUGAUAAGUCAGUGGUGAAAUCCGACAGCUUAACUGUCGAACUGCCAUUGAUACUGUUAGUCUUGAGUAAGGUUGAAGUGGCCGGAAUAAGUAGUGUAGCGGUGAAAUGCAUAGAUAUUACUUAGAACACCAAUUGCGAAGGCAGGUCACUAAGUCUUAACUGACGCUGAUGGACGAAAGCGUGGGGAGCGAACAGGAUUAGAAACCCGAGUAGUCCC